CACCGGGCGCGCGGCGCGUCUGUGCCAAGCAGCCGCUGCAUUCGGAGCCGAGGACCAGUGGCCCGCAAUGUCCCGAUGCCCUCCGAUCUUCCCCUCACCCCAGUGGCCCGCACUGUGGCCCCGCGCGCACCCUGGCCCGCUGGGUCCCGAGCCCGCUCGACGGCCAGGCUCUCUCUGAGCGUCCGGGCCCGCUGCGCCCGCCUGACCGCUCCGGGAUGCACGUGAACUUGGAGAAAGUCACGGGGCACGCCGGGCCGGUCCUCCGCGGCAGGGCGUGGGCACAUGCGGGUCGGCACGCUUUCGUUUGCGUCCCGGACAAAGGUCUCCAGUGGCGCCAGUCGUGGACGCGUGAUUCAUUCCUUCUGGCCACUCUUUUGAGUGGUGGGUCGUUGGAUGCAGGACUGCAGAAGCCCUGAGAGCAGGAGCUGUGGGUAUGGAGCACGGGGCCUCGCUGUGCGCUCGUCGGCGGCCGUUCCACCCUGCGAAGAGUUGCGGGAGCUGAUCCGCGCUGCCCUCCGCUGUUCCUGAGCGCCCAGGAGCCCGGCGCAAGUCACCCCAGACUCCAGUCAGCGGCCACGGGCACGCCAGCGCAGCGCUAGCCGCGGCCAAGAGGCGUUCUGGCAGGGCGGUGGACCUGUCUGCCGCGGGCAUGAUCAAGGUUGGAGAGAACAUGGCUGCUCCAGAGAGCCUCCCAGGAAAGGGAAAGCCAGUCACGUGUAUCAGAAGACCCCGGAGGACCUCAUACACAGGCUUCAGCCUCUUCUGGACAACUCUCCCAGGUGACCUCUGAAGCUCAGGGACCAUGUCCAGCCCAGGCCCUGCCCUGGAUUCGUGUUGACUCGUCCCUGUCAGAGGCGUGAAUCCUUGGCCGUGUGAGUUACAUCUCUCCUAUGACCCACCCACCCUGCAAGGUGGCUUCUAUGACUGUAGCGUCCCUGCCCCCUGGGCCUCAGACUGGCUACCUGUGAAGUGGGAUUGUACUCCACACAGAUUUUUUGCUCUGCCCAGGUCCAAAGGAGGCAGCCUGAGGUGAGACCUGUAACCCCUAGAGCUGUUUCCUUUGCCCCGAGUGUGUAACUGGAUUCUGAAUACAGCAGAGGCUAGGAUGGGGAGGGGGGGCACAAAGGAAUUCUGCAAAACCUGUUCCAGCCCUCUGGAGUGCCCACUGCCCUCUGUCUAGAGAGGCUUGGAGACCAGCUGUGGUGAGGGGGCAGUGGGACCCCUAGCCAGGGGCCGGAAAGGGGAAUUGAAUAGAUGACGGUCAGUUGUUUAAGAAGCAGCUGGAACGAGAUGAAAAAGCUAAGGGCUGUUCUAGUUGGAGCUGUAGAAAGUGGGGAGAGCAGUAGCCGUAUGCGCCUGAAGAAAGCCUUCCUGGCAUCUGUCCUGUUGAUGGCCGCUUUGGCAACUGAUCCCUUGACCCGUUGGCCCCAGACAGGAAGGAACUAUCUAGCCCACUCGUUCCUGGAGCAUAGGAUGGCACUUGAGCCCCUUGGCUUGGGGCCUCCCAACCGGGACAGAUAAGGACACAUCCUGUAGAUUCUAGAGAGGAGCUCAGGCCCGGGAGGCCUCACCGUGGACCACCCAGAGCCCCUUGAGGGGAAGUGUGGGAGUCACUGGAAGCCUGGAGCCUGUUUGAAGCUUGGCUGGGAGGAGAGCCUGGAAGGGGACAGCUUGACCCAUUUUCUCUGACCAGACCAUCUCGGGCCUCAGCCUAGGGCAUAGCCUUGUUCUGGUAGGUUGUUCUUUCUCCUCCCUGCCAGACAUCUACUGGUCCCACCCUCUGGCUUUCACGGCCUUUGUCUUCCAAGGGUGCCACAAAAUGGCCGACACAGCCCUCCGCCAUUUUGUAGUUGAAACAAACGGUAGCCUUGGAGAGGAGGAGACCCCUGCUUCCCGCCUGCCCUGAGUGGCCUGGACAGAGCCCAGGACCAGCGCCCCCUCCCCCACUUGGCUUUGGCCAUGGCCGCCCCAGGCUUGGCACAGCCAGCUGCUUGGCAAGGGUGCCUGGGAGUCCUGGCCCCUUAUCCAGCUCCACUUCUGCCUUACUACCCACCAAGCAAACAGAGAAGGAGGCUAUACAUCAGAAUCGGGAAAGCCAGCCACCAGCACUGUCCUUGGCCAAGGUGGGGCUGGCGUAGAUGGUUCUAGAAAUGAUGUCUGUACUUUGGUACCAGGUUCCUGAGUGUGGCCAUCAACAAGCAUAGAUUUGAGUUAGGUCUCCCUGAGAGAAAAGCCUCUGGCCUCCAAAUGCCGUUCAUACCUUUUACCUGACCAGGGACCUUGGGGAUCCCUGGCUGAGCGUGAUAUAGAAUGCCAGGGUUUCACAGCGGCCAAUCUGUCUCCUGGCCUGGGUAACCUAUGAUGUCAUCAAGUAGUCCUGGUGCUUGCUAGAGGAGGCCGCUUUGCUCCAAGAGCAAGGCCACCCACUGGGCCACUGAGGCUCUGAGGUACAGGAAACUUUUCCCUAUCACACGGUUCCUCUGCUUCCCUAGAGAUCAGAAGCAGAACCUCCCAGACUUAUGCUGCCUUAAUGACGCCAUCCAGGCCCACAGCACCCCCAGUAUCCCUGGGUCAUACUGACAGUACUUUCCAACUUCCUGAGGUAGGACAAAUGGGGCAGGCUCUGGGAGCCAGGAAUGGUCAGACAGCCCUGCCACCCCUGUGAUUGGGGGUCCUUAAAAGAAGCUAGGUGGCAGUUCCCUGUGAAGCAGGGAAGGGUGUGGGAUAAAAUCUUUGACUCUUCCUGGGUAGCAUGGGGGUUGCUCCAUGGCCUUGCCUGGCCCCGUGCCCUCUGCCAGGAUAGCAGGAAGCCAUGUGUAGACAGUAGGACCAAGCUGUCUCAUCUAGGAAGCUAGCUGAAUGCCAGCCCCAGGCUUCUUUCUUCCCACAGCUCCCAGGAAGAACAUUUUGUCACCGUGAGGUGAGGCUUGCUCAGGCCAUGUCCCCUUCCGGGGAGACCCUGCAGUCCAAAGCCCACCUGCCCGGACCAAUGUUUUCCCAUGUGCCAGGCUAGAAUGGACCCUCCCGGGGUCCUGGAAUAUAGGCUUCCUAGAAUGAGAAAAAAUCUCCCCAGGAAGGGCCAGGUCCAGAGGGAGUCAAAUAGCAGGCAGAGCAUGUGCCCCACAGUGUGGCAUCUGAAGUCCUUUCCCAUGCACCUUCCUAUGACCUGGACUGUGCAUGGGUGGGGGAAUAUUUGCAGAUUGAGUGGCCAAAGCUGGUAACCUGUAGCUAAAUGUCCAGCCCCAGGCGGAGUGCAGGGUGCAGGAGGGCCCCGCGAGGGCCUUUCCAGUGUACCCCAGGCCUUCAGUGCUUUGUCCUAGGCAUAUGCCAGUGACUUCUCAUGACUCCCACUGCUGUCCAUACCAGACUGCUAUCUCACUAGUCCUCCAGAGAAGGCACAGAGCCGACUGACUUUGUCUCGGACCCUAUUUCUAGAUGAAGAGAGCUAGGUUCAGAUCUGGGCCUCCCCAGCCAGGCUCUAGACCCUGAAUCUCCCUUUCUCUCUCAUGAAUUUUGCUAUGGGUCACACACAGUGUUCAUUACCUCUGUUCUAGAGGUGGGCAUGCCACCAGGGUACCGCAGCUCUCGAGUCUGCUCAAAGCCCAGUGCAGGUCAAAUCCACCUCGGGAUCAGUGUGAGGUGUGUAGGGCUAGAGAGAGCCAGGUUCAAGGCACUUAGAUGCUAGCUCCAAGUUUGACCUUGCAUCCUUGUGGUACACUUUUGGAAAAGGAUGUUCAAGCCUGUGAGGUACUUCCCCACAGGCCUGUCAGAGCAGUCCAGUCUGAAGCCAGGGCACUGAGCAAACCUGGGUCAUCUUUGUUCAAAUAUGAUCUUGUAAUGUCUCGGGCAAUCACAUUAGUUGUUUUGCUAAAGUUUACACAAAGGCCUCACUUGUCUUAGUGACUGAGAUUUUGGUCACCCCUAACAUGCUUGUCUUAGCCAGUCCCAAGAGACUCCUCAGUAGGCAUGGCCUGCCUCUGGGCACACUGACCCAGGCCUAGUCAGUAAGCAUGCAUCUUGCUAACUUUAUGGGCCGUGUUCACAAGGAGACCCGCCUUCUGCCCAGCCGGAUGCCACCCCUCCCAUCGUUCCGACUUGCUGUUGGCACGGCCUACUGAGCAGAGACACUGGUGGCCUUAUGGGAGAAACCUAAUCAGGGAGGCCAGGAGAGGGAGGCUGUCAUGGGGGGGGGUCUGGCUCUUGGUGGCCCCAAGCCAAGCCUGAGGUGACUUCAGGGUGACACCGUCUGUCUGCCUCUCUCCCUCCAGACAUCCGCCCAGCCCUGAAAGGGCCACCUGCCUGCCUAGGCCUUUGGCGCACCUGUCCUGGCCAGCCUGGCUCCUCCCCCAGGCACCCUGCCCGUGGGCAGACACUGCAGGACUAGAGCAAGGCUGGGAGGUGGCAGCUGGCAGAUGGCAGGGUGCCUGCUGACUGCUCACUCCCUGGCGACCUGUUCAGGAUCGCCAUUCAUGUGCACUGCCCGCCCCGCCACUGGCCCUCAUCCAGCCUCGCCCCACUGGGUCCCUUUGGUUUGUUUCAGGACCCCCUUCCCUGUUACCCGUUAAGAAAGGAGGCAUUUAUGUGAGUCCCACCCCCCAGGGCAGAGGUCAGUGGUCAAGCUAAUCCUGGCACAUCUAAACACUUCUCGAGUAUGAACUGGGCCUUUUCCUCACUCGUUCACAUUCAGCUCUGGAGACCAAGAAAGGGUGACCCUUCCGGAGUCUCGUGGAACCAGUGUACCCCCUGUAGGGCAGAACUGAGCAGUCCAUGGUAGCCGGGCCUGCCACCAGAGCAUGGAGAGAUACCUGUGGGUCAGCCUCACCAGACUAGCGCCCUGGGCACAGUGAGGCCCCCUGGAGAGCAGAAACCUUGUGGAAAGGAACAGGAACAACAGGUCAGUAGUUCCCAGCAGAGAGACAGACCAGGGCAAAAGCCAGGAGGUGGGGAGGGCCUGGGAGAUGGCCAAGGAGGGCAGAGGAGGCUAGCCCAGGGCAUUUUGCUGCUUUGUGGACUGGGGCGGGGCUGACGGCACAGUGGAAAGAAUCAGAGAAAGGGUGUCCAAUGGAUAGCUUGGCCGUCAUGGUGGUAACAGGCAAGGCUGGUAGUCAGGGAAGGAGGGCCUUUCCCACCCUUGUGUCCUCACGACCCUCAAUAGCCAAUGGUCUCAUCUUCCUUUCCUUGAGCUGUGCAGGAAUAGCAAGGCUUGUAACAAACUGCUCUGGCUUGAUGGACAGACAGAACUGAGCAGACCCCAGGCAGGGCUUGUCUCUGUUCCGCACCCAAGGCUCAGCCCCAGAGCCCUUCAGCUGGCCGGGCUGCUCCCUCACUACCACCAUGUCCCUGGUUGGUCUUCCAUCUUUCUGCUGGCCCUGCCAUGAUGCCUUCGCCAGAAUGGGCCCAAAGGAAGUAGGGUAGUGACUUGAUUCAUGGAGGAAGCCUGUGGUCCCGUGAGACUCUGGGUCUCAGCUCUCGGAGGGAGGGAGAGUUCAGGUCCUACUCGCCCUAUCUUGGGAAGCUGCGUCUUGCCGCCAACCUCUGAGGGAGGAUUAACUCUUUCCAGGGUCCAGCUAACUACCACAGUGUACAUGAGAGAGUAUGAGCCUGUCCCCUUGCGGCUCUGCUUCUCUCAGACCCCACAGUUAGUGGCCACGUGGGUCACUGGCCACCCACAUAGACAUGCUUGACCACCAUGGACGAAGUUUGAGUCAUAGUCUCUGGCCAGCACGUCCAACACCAGGCUGGUUUGAGAGGCCAUUCCAUCCAGACCUUUGCCUGCUGCAGAGUGUCACCAGGCAGCAGAGAGACUGGAUGAAAAUGUCACUGUGUUGUGGGCUAGCAGGGUACAGUGAGGGGAGGCAUCCGGGGCCUGGGCUGUCUCGUUUCGGAAGCUGACGAUGGUUGCUUUUGUUUCUAAACCCAAACAGGUCAGGAAGUGGUGCCAAGCAGGAGCUUCUGCAUGCUGCCGACUUCCCUGUGGUGAGUGGAGCCUCACUGUCCUUCCCCAGGAGAGUAGGGAGCCAUGGGAGACCUCAGAGUGAGAAAGGCUAGGGUCAGAACCACAUCCCUCCCUGCCACUGCCCCAGGACCUCAGCGUAGACAUCCUUACCUGGAGGCCUGUGCCUCCCACCAGCAGACCACCCCCAGGGGAUUCAUCUCAUCUACCCAUGAUGCACUGUGAUAAGAUGAUCUUUGACCCCACAUCGGACUACCAGGGCUGGAUAUGGUUUAACGGAGCUGCAGUUUCAUUCAUUACUGGCUUUGAGUGGAAGAGGUGCAGCCUCGCUACCCUGAGGCAACACUGUCUGUAGGCUCACGCCCUUCAGGUCACUCAGCCUCGAGAGCUCUCUGGGGACCUCAAAGGCAGCUCUCUUCUCUCUGUCCCCCAUCACCAUCACUCAGCCCUCCAGUGUGAUCCUAAUACCCCCACACCACCCAGCAGUGAUGGAGGACCAUCUGCAGUGACUGCCAGGAGAGUCGUGCCUGGUGUGAGAAAGAAGGCCAGAUGAGGGAAACAGAAUCACAUCUGUUCCCAGCCUGGGCUAAGGCACAGGGGUGGUGGCCAUGGUCAAGGAGGGACCAGGGUGCUUGUCUCCCGUUAUUUCUCUCCUAUAGCUUGAGUCCUGCAUGUUGCAAUGAAGCCCAAACUCGGGGAGGGUAGUCAGGGACAGGGGCAGGACAAGCACUUUUGGGGGCUAUCACAGGUGGCACAUAUCAGUCUCCUGCUGAUUGCUAACUACACUGGCCAAGGAGCUGCGAAGAAUCCCCAACGGUCCCCAGUGAGAGGCAGCUCAGACCUACCAGGCAGUUCUGGUAUCCUGCUGGCCAGGGGCAGAACCCAAAAUGUUGAGAGGCCCGUGAUGAGGUGUGCCUUCUCUCCUUCAAGGUGUUUCUGAAAGGCUCAGAUGGUGUUGGCAAAAGUGUCUUCUGGUCAUUCUACCACAUCCAGGUGCAUCCUGGGAACUGACAAGGUCAACCAUGGCCAAUCAGUGACACCUCCACCUUCCCACCUGGUCCACUCAUCAUAGAUGGGAACACGGGGUGGGGGUGGGACUGAGCCACUCUCUUCCCAUGCCUUCCUUCUCACUAGUUCUGCUUGGACCAUCCUUGGGGAUAUUUGACCUGUCUCUUAGUAAAAGGGUACAGGCUUGAGGCAGGGGGAUAGCACCCCUGAGGCUCACAUAGAUGUUCUUCUAGGACUGGACAGUGCCUGCACACCUAGGUCCAGGCCACACUAGCGUUUUGGGGCCGUGUUCCCAAUCCACUCUGUCUCAUAGACUCCAGAUCUGGGUGCACAGUGUGGACUUAAGCCUAAUGGCUCCAGGGUCUUUGGACUUGCUCCUGUGACCCUUGGCAGAGAGAGAGGGAGGUGUGGUAUCAGGUGCUUGGCCUCCUGGUACUGGGCACAGAGCUUCCCUCUGCCUUGCUGGGCAAACCUGUCUGCUGAGAGCAGAGCCACCUGGGGGGCUAGAGCCGGUGUCUUCACAGUGACCCCACCUCACAGCUGGAGGAGUAGAUGACUCCACCCAGCCUGGUGCCUGCCCUGGAAGACUAUGGAAGGAGGCCUGCAGUAGAGUCUUUAAGACUCUGCUGGUACCCGGGAGCAGAGAACUACAGAAGCAUCUUACAAGGUGGGAAGGAUGCUCGAGCGCACUGCUGCUGCGUGGCUGGGCAGGCUGUAGGCCUUGCUUAUAAGAAGGGCUUACAGUAUACUUGCCCAAGGGUCCCCUGCAAGCUAGUGACUGUGAGCAGUGCAGACUCACAGUACAGACUGACUGUUGUCCCAGAGUGGGCCUCACCUGCCCCACUACACAGUGAGUGGCAAGACCCACACCAGCCCGCCUGUCCUUACCAGGUCUUCCUCCCUGCUGGGCUCUGUCCAACGCUCUGGGAGUCCCAAACUCAGAGCCAAAUACAGAGCCCCCCGCUGGCUUCAGGAAGUGCCAGUCGCCAAGGACAGCCUGGCCAUCCGUGUCCAGCCAGGGUCUGCACUUCCGCCCAGCUGGCCACCAUGGGGAGCUAGGCUGCCUCCCACAAGGAAAAAAAAAUGGUUUUGAGCCUCCCGUAGCAAGGUCAGCUCAGGCCACCCUGGGGGGAAGGCAGGGACAGAACCAGAGCCCUCAAGGAGGGGCUCUUCCUGUGAGAGGGGGGUGCAUGCCCAAGGCCGCCGCCUCGCUGGAGUCCUGGUGCCUCCAGCGCUUCCUGUGCUCCACCACAGAGGCUGGGUCUCCGCCAGGUGGACGCUGGAAGCUCCCUGAACCUGGCUGGCCUUUGACAAGUGACACCCUUCCUCCACGGUGGUCAUUCCUGCCUAGGAACUGGUCAGCUUUUGCUCUCUUCUCCCCGCCCCCACUUCCGUCAUCCUCUCUGCUUGUGGUGAUUUUGUUUAAGUGUCCUGGCCCACUGUGGGGGAAUCCCAGUCCGCUGCCGGCUGAUACCCUUUAGCACCGAGCUGGCCAUGUUGGGCCCCUCACCAUGUUCCCAGCUCUUCUUCUCUAGGAGGCAUCUCCAGAAGCCGUAGCAUCCAGCUCGACACCAAGACUGACGGACGGCCUUUGGGGUGAGGUAGUAGGUUGUAUGGUUUUGGGCUCUGCCCCGCUCUGCGGUAACUAUACAAUCUACUGUCUUUCCUGAAGUGGCUGCAAUAAUCUACAGAGAACACAACGCCAGCCUGACUUGGGAGGCCGAGGGGGGCACGGGGGUGGUAGCUGCCAUGUCUGACAGGGGCCUUGGACAGUCCCUUGACCUCUCUGGUCUGUUGCUUUUCUGUAAGGGUUGAGGCGUGGGGGUGUGCAGACGUGUGGCAUUUCCAGGGCACCUCCUCUCCCUUGACCACACUGAAGCGGCUUUGCUUCUCCUGAUCCCAUCAUAUUAGGCUAUCAGGCCUGGCCUCACAGGCCUCCCUGAAGAAAGGGUGUGGGCUGGACCUUCAACUGUGUCUCAGAGUUGCCACACACUCCAGACCUGGCAUAUGCCCAGGAUUUCCAGCUUGAGGGCAGGCUUUUGUUGAAUGGCAGCGUCUCCAUCUACAUAGAGACAAGGCAGCUUUUCCAUGAAGGAAGAGAGAGGAGGGUUCUAGCCUGCCUGGGCACCCUGUGGGCAGAGCCUGCAGCUGGACUGUAGGCCACUGUCCCUGGGGCGGUGGGUUCAGACACUGGAGACGUCCCUGAUCCAUCUGGUGGGUACAGGCCUUUCUUGCUGAGCCACUGUCUCCGCUUCCCCCCCUGCCCUGUGCCAGCUGUGCCAUAUGGCUCUGGCGGCCUGUGGCCAGGGUGGGUGGGGAGCGGCUGGGCCUCCUCCAGAACAUGGACCCCGCAGGGUGAGGUAGUAGGUUGUGUGGUUUCAGGGCAGUGAUGUUGCCCCUUAGAAGAUAACUAUACAACCUACUGCCUUCCCUGAGGAGCCCAGGGUCACGUGCACAUGGAGGCCCCUGCUCAGCAAGCCAUGUGGAGAGCCUGUGCCACAGAUUGGGUGGGGGCAGUGAUGUGGGGCCUGGAUAAAAAUAAAGGCAUUUUGACAUGAA